rnacentral:rRNA from 1 species
UGGGGAAUUUUGGACAAUGGGGGCAGCCCUGAUCCAGCAAUGCCGCGUGAGUGAAGAAGGCCUUCGGGUUGUAAAGCUCUUUUGUCAGGGAAGAAACACCGGCUCUAACACAGUCCGGGAAUGACGGUACCUGAAGAAUAAGCACCGGCUAACUACGUGCCAGCAGCCGCGGUAAUACGUAGGGUGCAAGCGUUGUUCGGAAUUACUGGGCGUAAAGGGCAUGUAGGCGGUUCUGUAAGCCUGACGUGAAAGGCCGUGGCUUAACCAUGGCACUGCGUUGGGAACUGCGGGACUCGAGUCACGGAGAGGGAGCUGGAAUUCCAGGUGUAGGGGUGAAAUCUGUAGAUAUCUGGAAGAACACCAGUGGCGAAGGCGAGCUCCUGGCCGAUGACUGACGCUGAGGUGCGAAAGUGUGGGGAUCAAACAGG